rnacentral:rRNA from 1 species
UACGUAGGGUGCAAGCGUUGUCCGGAAUUAUUGGGCGUAAAGAGCUCGUAGGUGGCCUGUCGCGUCGGCUGUGAAAACUCGGGGCUCAACUCCGAGCUUGCAGUCGAUACGGGCAGACUAGAGGUAUGCAGGGGAGAACGGAAUUCCUGGUGUAGCGGUGAAAUGCGCAGAUAUCAGGAGGAACACCGGUGGCGAAGGCGGUUCUCUGGGCAUGACCUGACGCUGAGGAGCGAAAAGUGUGGGGAGCGAACAGG